UUAAAUGCAGUGAAUAGGAAUAGUAAACUUAACUCUUGUUUAGAGAGAGUCGGUGGUCAGUGCAAAUCGACAUCAGGAGAGGUUGAAUCCACCUAGGAGCAGUUAGUGAAUAUCAAGCUAAACCGGUUAUGGCGCCGUUAUCUGUCAUAGAAGUGGGCCUUUUAUAGGCCAAUUAGGGUGGCACCACGGGUAAAGAAUAUUAAAUCUCUCGCCCCUAGC
rnacentral:ncRNA from 1 species